CCUUAUUAACACUUGGAAAAGGAUUCGUCAUUAAGAUUUGACUAUGUGUAUGACUAUACAUCUCAUUUAAUCCCAUCAGAAAAACAAAUAGCCUCAAAAAUUAUAAAUGAUCCACAUACACCUUGGAUUUGUCACAAUAACAUGAAGGUGGAGACACUAAUGCAUUAAAUUCAUCCCAUAAGAGUCUCAAUUUGGUAAAGUGAGCUGAGACUGUUAAAUUACCUUGAUAAAGAGUACAGAUUUUCCGGUGAAGUUGAUAACUUCUAGAUCCAUCUACUUUGUCAAAGCGUUCCUUCAAAUCUGCCCAUACAACAGCUGCAUCUGAAGCAAGGAAUCUGCCCAUACAACAGUUGUAUCUGAAGCAUACACUAUACCACUCAAUAAUUCCUUGGAUACAGUGUUCAUGAUCCAUACAAGCACAAAUGCAUUGCACUUUUCCCAUUGUUCUUCCAAUUCCAGCUGAUAAUCACCUUUGCGACAUGUUCCAAGCACAAAUCCUAAUUUAUUAUUUACACGGAGAUUGAUCAUCAUAAAUCUGCUCCACGGUGAAUAGUUCUCAGUUUCUGUGAGCUGCACCAAAGUCAGAACACUACCUGGAGUGUCCGAUGGGUGAAGGUACAAUAGAUAAUUGCGAUUGUUCUUGAUUUCUUUACGAGUAUCAGUCGAAGUGUCAGCUGUAUCUCCUACUUCAUAUUUAACCGCCAAUUUGCUUAACCUUCGUCAAUGGCAGAAGAAGCUUCCAGAAUAAAAAAAAUAUGAAUACGUAAAGUUCAGACUCACGGCUCUGAAACCAUAUAGAAAAAACUAGAGAGAAGAUUUAUGUUUGGAAAAUUUCAUUCUAUAUUGAACUACCAAAUUUAGUGUGGUUAUAUACAUGUUGCUUCUUAGCUGCAGCUAAGACUGG
rnacentral:lncRNA from 1 species